UGAGUAACCUGCCCUUAACUCUGGGAUAAGCCUGGGAAACUGGGUCUAAUACCGGAUAUUACUCCUCAUCGCAUGGUGGGGGGUGGAAAGCUUUAUUGUGGUUUUGGAUGGACUCGCGGCCUAUCAGCUUGUUGGUGAGGUAAUGGCUCACCAAGGCGACGACGGGUAGCCGGCCUGAGAGGGUGACCGGCCACACUGGGACUGAGACACGGCCCAGACUCCUACGGGAGGCAG
rnacentral:rRNA from 1 species